GGACUACCGGCGACAAGUCGGAGGAAGGUGGGGAUGACGUCAAAUCAUCAUGCCCCUUAUGACCUGGGCUACACACGUGCUACAAUGGGCGGUACAAAGGGCUGCGAACCCGCGAGGGGGAGCGAAUCCCAAAAAGCCGCUCUCAGUUCGGAUUGCAGGCUGCAACUCGCCUGCAUGAAGCCGGAAUCGCUAGUAAUCGCGGAUCAGCAUGCCGCGGUGAAUACGUUCCCGGGCCUU
rnacentral:rRNA from 1 species